rnacentral:rRNA from 1 species
UUGAGUGCAGAAGAGGAAAGUGGAAUUCCAUGUGUAGCGGUGAAAUGCGCAGAGAUAUGGAGGAACACCAGUGGCGAAGGCGACUUUCUGGUCUGUAACUGACGCUGAUGUGCGAAAGCGUGGGGAUCAAACAGGAUUAGAUACCCUGGUAGUCCACGCCGUAAACGAUGAGUGCUAAGUGUUAGGGGGUUUCCGCCCCUUAGUGCUGCAGCUAACGCAUUAAGCACUCCGCCUGGGGAGUACGACCGCAAGGUUGAAACU